AUCGCUAAAAAAAGGUUUCCUCCUCAUGGUUAGGGAUGUGGUUUUCAGGCCAGUUUUUCUUGUAGUUGAUACGUUCCUGCCCAUGCCCAGUAUGUUAGCAUUCGCAACUGGACAGUCAGGAGUCCAUCUCGUGACUCAUGUGGGAUUGGAGUUUUGGCUUUCAGAUGCUGCCUUCAGUUUCUCAGAAUUGGAUCUUAUCGUCGCCGAGUCUAGAACUGCACUCUUCCUGGGUGAAUUGUUACCACGUGAAAAAAGCUAUCGUCAAACAGAUUCAUUCCCAAGGGAGGAAUUCCCAAGGGAGAGGAAAAAAGAAUGGAAGCAACAGGACAUAAGAAAAUGAAGGACGGUGCUUUCUUGGGAUGCUGGCCACACUAACGAAGCUCAGAGGCACUUACUGAUGGCAAACCUCAUGUCAUUGUUUGGAC
rnacentral:lncRNA from 1 species